UGAAGAGGCAUUAGAGAUUGAAAAAAAAAUCCGAUCUGGUCGAAGAACCGACUCAAAAAGUUCCCCGUUUUGGAUAUUUUCAAGACUUACGAACAAGCGCAACACUUCACAGGGAGAAAGUCGACCUCAUAAAACGAAGGAACGAACGAACGGAGACGAAAGAAAGAACAGAACCGGCUGAGCAAUGGCUACACGGGCCUUUCCAGAUGUCUAAUGGACUUUGAUCUUGACUGGGUGACACACAGCUUGAGUGCUUGGGCCGUGUGAAGGUGAUUUCCUCGGAUUCUCACGACGUUUUUCCCUUUUCUUCUGAACGGGUCGGACCAUCCCCGCUCACUUUCACCCUAGCGGCGGCUGCACCUUGAUUUCACCGCGCGUGUGUGUGUGUGUGAGA